CCGUGUCUAUCUGUACCCUGUUGCUUCGGCGUGGCCACGGCCCGCCGGAGACUAACAUUUGAACGCUGUCUGAAGUUUGCAGUCUGAGUUUUUAGUUAAACAAUCGUUAAAACUUUCAACAACGGAUCUCUUGGUUCCGGCAUCGAUGAAGAACGCAGCGAAAUGCGAUAAUUAAUGUGAAUUGCAGAAUUCAGUGAAUCAUCGAGUCUUUGAACGCACAUUGCGCCCCCUGGUAUUCCGGGGGGCAUGCCUGUCCGAGCGUCAUUGCUGCCCUCAAGCACGGCUUGUGUGUUGGGCUUCCGUCCCUGGCAACGGGGACGGGCCCAAAAGGCAGUGGCGGCACCAUGUCUGGUCCUCGAGCGUAUGGGGCUUUGUCACCCGCUCCCGUAGGUCCAGCUGGCAGCUAGCCUCGCAACCAAUCUUUUUAACCAGGUUGACCUCGGAUCAGGUAGGGAUACCCGCUGAACUUAAGCAU
rnacentral:rRNA from 1 species